GAAUAGUAAGAGGUUGGUCCUUAAAAAGGAUGAUUUUCUUGUUCCCCAAAUAAUGUGACAUAACGCACUCCAGCGUGGAUACUUCUUCCUUCUCCGAGGAACUCAAUUUACACAAGUAAAAGACUGCUCUUUGUAUGUAAAAAGCACAUGACAACCAUCUCUGCUGAAGUUGGCCAAGCAAGAGAACAUGCUAAUUAUGUUUGAAGGAGAGCCAGAACCUUCGUGACCUGAAUAAAGAGCUUUUCUAGAGGCUUC
rnacentral:lncRNA from 1 species